UAGAACUGCAGGACUCUAAUUCGAGCAUUCAGUUUUAUGUACUUUUUUCCUACUUGCAUUUGAAUGUAUUGUAGGAGCAGUGACCAGGCAUCAAAACGACGCCCAGCCUGCCUGAAGCAAUCUUCUCCCUGAAAUAAGAAUCCUUCACCCAGUGGACAAGAGAAGGCUCUGGGUGAAAAGGUUACGGUCAAGAAGUGAUUUGUUAAUUAAUUGGUGCUGUCUCCUGGGACACAGGGAAUGGAGCCCUCGUUCUGUUAUCACAAUGCCUGGCUGUUCCACGUGUAUAACAGGAAAGUCAAAUGGCUUUAGUACAAACUCUUGCCUUCUGUGAAAGAGAAGAGAGGAGGAGCUCCAGCAACCUGCCCUCGCUUCCCUCCGUGUGUGAUGCCAGCUGUGAGUGUUUCUUUGGCAGUGUCUUAGCUGGUUGUUGUGAACAAUAGUCAAGGAAGCAAUCAGCAAGUAUACUGCCCUAGAAGUGCUGCACAUUGUUGGGCCUGCCUCAUCUCCCUGGCUCGAGAGGUGGCUGGGGAUCCAGGUCGGGAUGCUGCCCGGGUGUACUGUGUUGUGCUGGAGCUUGGGGUGUCUGAUGGAGCAGAGCACUAACGUGAGAAAUGCCACGUGGUGCUUGAUGAUGUGGUCACUGCCUCAGAGAUGAGACGGAGAAAAGAGAAGAUAAACGUGUUGCAAGUUGCUUUGCUUUUUCUUUGUCCUUCCCGCAUCCAUCUUCCUGAGAGUAAAAUACCACCUUGUUAGUAACACUACAAAAAUACAACAUUAGAAAGGGCCUGCUUUUAGGAAGAAUUCACCCAAACCUCAAUCUCAGGCUGGUAAUGAGAAGCUAAACUUGGCUUUAAACCUAGCAUGGGAGCAACUUGCCUGUAAUCACUGUUUCUCCUGGGUGCUGGUCAGCAGGUAUGCAUUGCAAGCACAUGAACUCAGGUGCCCAAAAAUGUCGCUGAUCUUUCUGGGGAAGAAU
rnacentral:lncRNA from 1 species